rnacentral:rRNA from 1 species
CAUAUCACUAAGCGGAGAAAAAGAAAAUAACAAUGAUUCCUAGAGUAACGGCGAGUGAAAUAGGAUAAGCCCAUAGCCGAAUUCUGCUGUCCUCGACGGCAGCUAGAAGUUGUGGCGUUGGGAACUGCCUAUUGUAACCGAUCGGCCGGGCUACGCGACUCCUCUUGAUUGUGGUUUGCCCAUAGCAGGUGAAAGGCCUAUUGGUCGUAGCCUCGUGCUGAAGGCCGGCGGUGAUGGCAGUCCUUAGAGUCGGUUUGUUUGGGAUUGCAGACCGAAGUAGGUGGUAAACUCCACCUAAGGCUAAAUACGAUCGCGAGUCCGAUAGCGCACAAGUACCGUGAGGGACAGUUGAAAAGAACUUUGAAGAGAGAGUUCAAAGUACGUGAAACCGUUCAGAGGUAAACGGGUAGAAAGUCGAAUUAAAAGUUGACAAUCAAACCGUUGGUCAAGUCGGAGUUGGGCUGGUAACACGUUAAAGGUUGCCAGUUUGCUCGUAUGGCUGACUACGGUUGUAUUUGUUGACUUUGGAUCGCCGCAACGGCAGUGACUGACCGGCUGGCGUCUAUUCCUCUGGCCGAUGUAGAUCCGUAUGGGUCUCGUACAAAACGUCGGCACAUGGGUAGGCGUCCCGUGUACAUGGCACAGUCGAUAAUAACAGUAGCCUAAGCGUUCCGGCCUGGUUAUUCGUUCGUUCUGUAUUGGUAGUUUGAUCUUAAACAAGUUCAGCUGUUGAUAUCAGGGCGGCGGUGGCUGGUUUAAAGACGGAACAAAGGUUACAUUGGCGGCGUUAGACUACGAAUUAUCUACCUGACCCGUCUUGAAACACGGACCAAGGAGUCUAACAUAUGCGCGAGCCAUUGGGAUUGAUUAUAAUAACGAUACCCAAAGGCAUAGUGAAAGCAAAAAUGGUGAGAUCUGUCGUUUAUUUGUUACGCAAAUAACGGCGGCGCAUCAUCGUCACGCCUCAAUUCGGCUUCGGCUGAGGAGGCGCAGACUGAGCGCAUAGGUUGGGACCCGAAAGAUGGUGAACUAUGCGAGGCGAGGUCGAAGCCAGAGGAAACUCUGGUGGAGGACUGUAGCGGUUCUAACGUGCAAAUUGAUCGUCGCAGCUUCGUAUAGGGGCGAAAGACUAAUCGAACCAUCUAGUAGCUGGUUCCCUCCGAAGUUUCCCUCAGGAUAGCUGGCACUUUCGGAGAGCAGUUUUGUCCGGUAAAGCGAAUGAUUAGAGGCCUUGGGGACAUAACGACCUCAACCUAUUCUCAAACUUUGAAUGGGCAAGAAGAGGAACUCACUUAAUUGGAGUUCCUUAUUUCAUGUGAAUGCUUGAGUGCCAAGUGGGCCAUUUUUGGUAAGCAGAACUGGCGCUGUGGGAUGAACCAAACGUCUAGCUAAGGUGCCAAAUGCUAACGCUCAUCUGAACCCAUUAAAGGUGUUGGUUGAUAGAGACAGCAGGACGGUGGCCAUGGAAGUCGGAACCCGCCAAGGAGUGUGUAACAACUCACCUGCCGAAUCAACCAGUCCUGAAAAUGGAUGGCGCUGAAGCGUUGUGAACCUAUGCUAGACCGGCAUUGCAAUUAUUACAUAUAAGAAACAUGCGAUGCCGAGUAGGAGGGUCGCUGUGGUAUGCGUUGAAGCUUAGGGCGAGGGCCCGAGUCGAGCUUCCACAGGUGCAGAUCUUGGUGGUAGUAGCAAAUAUUCAAACGAGAACUUUGAAGGCCGAAGUGGAGAAGGGUUCCAUGUGAACAGCAUUUGAACAUGGGUCAGUCGGUCCUAAGCGAUAGGCAAAUGCCGUUCUGAAAGCAGGCUUAUUUAUAUAACUAAUAAUUAUUUKAAUUAAUGCCUGAUUUUGGUCGAAAGGGAAUCGGGUUAAUAUUCCCGAACCUGGACGCGGAGAUGGAGUAGUAGUGUAACAACUGCUACUCAGUGCGGUAACGCAAACGAUCUCGGAUUCGUCGGCGGGAGUCCCGGGAAGAGUUCUCUCUUCUUUGUAAGGGGCUGAAUCCCUGGAAUCGGCUUAGCCGGAGAUAGGGAUAUUGCACAAGCGCCCGUAAAGCACCACACUUCUUGUGGUGUCCGGUGCACGACUGUCGACACUUAAAAGUCCGAGCUAGACGUUCAUAAUGUUCGCGCCAGGCCGUACCCAUAUCCGCAGCAGGUCUCCAAGGUGAACAGCCUCUGGCCUUAGACUGAUGUAGUCAAGGGAAGUCGGCAAAUUGGAUCCGUAACUUCGGAACAAGGAUUGGCUCUAUGGGUUGGGCCGUGACGGGCUGUGCUAGGAAGCGAUGCCUGCUACUGAUGCUUUGGGUCUGACUGGCAACGGUUGGGCCUAGCGUCGGUUGGCGGCGCGUGGAUCUGGCAUGGCUUCUGCCGGUGCUCCUCGUGGGUGCCGGCAUCGUUCGGCAAAAAGCAACC